UGGAGCCGACCUUGAAAUACCACCCUUUAAUGUUUGAUGUUCUAACGUUGACCCGUGAUCCGGGUUGCGGACAGUGUCUGGUGGGUAGUUUGACUGGGGCGGUCUCCUCCUAAAGAGUAACGGAGGAGCACGAAGGUUGGCUAAUCCUGGUCGGACAUCAGGAGGUUAGUGCAAUGGCAUAAGCCAGCUUGACUGCGAGCGUGACGGCGCGAGCAGGUGCGAAAGCAGGUCAUAGUGAUCCGGUGGUUCUGAAUGGAAGGGCCAUCGCUCAACGGAUAAAAGGUACUCCGGGGAUAACAGGCUGAUACCGCCCAAGAGUUCAUAUCGACGGCGGUGUUUGGCACCUCGAUGUCGGCUCAUCACAUCCUGGGGCUGAAGUAGGUCCCAAGGGUAUGGCUGUUCGCCAUUUAAAGUGGUACGCGAGCUGGGUUUAGAACGUCGUGAGACAGUUCGGUCCCUAUCUGCCGUGGGCGCUGGAGAACUGAGGGGGGCUGCUCCUAGUACGAGAGGACCGGAGUGGACGCAUCACUGGUGUUCGGGUUGUCAUGCCAAUGGCACUGCCCGGUAGCUAAAUGCGGAAGAGAUAAGUGCUGAAAGCAUCUAAGCACGAAACUUGCCCCGAGAUGAGUUCUCCCUGACUCCUUGAGAGUCCUGAAGGAACGUUGAAGACGACGACGU
rnacentral:rRNA from 1 species